rnacentral:rRNA from 1 species
UACGUAGGGUGCAAGCGUUAAUCGGAAUUACUGGGCGUAAAGCGUGCGCAGGCGGUGAUGUAAGACAGGUGUGAAAUCCCCGGGCUUAACCUGGGAACUGCAUUUGUGACUGCAUGGCUGGAGUGCGGCAGAGGGGGAUGGAAUUCCGCGUGUAGCAGUGAAAUGCGUAGAUAUGCGGAGGAACACCGGUGGCGAAGGCGGCGUCCUGGACCAACACUGACACUGAGGAGCGAAAGCCAGGGGAGCAAACGGG